rnacentral:rRNA from 1 species
GAUGAACGCUGGCGGCGUGCUUAACACAUGCAAGUCGAACGAAGCACUUCGGACAGAUUCUUCGGAUGAAGUCCUUAGUGACUGAGUGGCGGACGGGUGAGUAACGCGUGGGUAACCUGCCUCAUACAGGGGGAUAACAGUUAGAAAUGGCUGCUAAUACCGCAUAAGCGCACGGUACCGCAUGGUACAGUGUGAAAAACUCCGGUGGUAUGAGAUGGACCCGCGUUGGAUUAGCUAGUUGGCAGGGUAACGGCCUACCAAGGCGACGAUCCAUAGCCGGCCUGAGAGGGUGGACGGCCACAUUGGGACUGAGACACGGCCCAGACUCCUACGGGAGGCAGCAGUGGGGAAUAUUGCACAAUGGGGGAAACCCUGAUGCAGCGACGCCGCGUGAGCGAAGAAGUAUUUCGGUAUGUAAAGCUCUAUCAGCAGGGAAGAAAAUGACGGUACCUGACUAAGAAGCCCCGGCUAACUACGUGCCAGCCGCCGCCGUAA